UAAGAUGAGAGUUUGAUCCUGGCUCAGGACGAACGCUGGCGGCGUGCCUAAUACAUGCAAGUCGAACGAGUCCUCCCAAUUUGAUUUUAUGCUUGCAUAAAUGAUUUUUGGAUUCGGGACGAGUGGCGAACUGGUGAGUAACACGUGGGUAACCUGCCCUGAAGUAGGGGAUAACAUUUGGAAACAGAUGCUAAUACCGUAUAAUUAGUUGGAACCACAUGGUUCCAACUUGAAAGAUGGCUCUGCUAUCACUUUCUGAGAGGGUAAUCGGCCACAUUGGGACUGAGACACGGCCCAGACUCCUACGGGAGGCAGCAGUAGGGAAUCUUCCACAAUGGACGAAAGUCUGAUGGAGCAACGCCGCGUGAGUGAAGAAGGGUUUCGGCUCGUAAAACUCUGUUGUUAAAGAAGAACAAGUGUAAGAGUAACUGUUUACGCUUUGACGGUAUUUAACCAGAAAGCCACGGCUAACUACGUGCCAGCAGCCGCGGUAAUACGUAGGUGGCAAGCGUUGUCCGGAUUUAUUGGGCGUAAAGCGAGCGCAGGUGGUUCUUUAAGUCUGUUGUGAAAGCCCUCAGCUCAACUGAGGAAGUGCAGCGGAAACUAAAGGACUUGAGUACAGAAGAGGAUAGUGGAACUCCAUGUGUAGCGGUGAAAUGCGUAGAUAUAUGGAAGAACACCAGUGGCGAAGGCGGCUAUCUGGUCUGUUACUGACACUGAGGCUCGAAAGCAUGGGUAGCGAACAGGAUUAGAUACCCUGGUAGUCCAYGCYGUAAACGAUGARURCUARGUGUUGGRRGGUUUCCGCCYYUCAGUGCYGCAGCUAACGCAUUAAGCAYUCCGCCUGGGGAGUACGRCCGCAAGGUURAAACUCAAAGGAAUUGACGGGGGCCCGCACAAGCGGUGGAGCAUGUGGUUUAAUUCGAWGCAACGCGAAGAACCUUACCWGGUCUUGACAUCUWSUGMMARCCYWAGAGAUWRGRYGUUYCCUUCGGGRACASWRWGACAGGUGSUGCAUGGYUGUCGUCAGCUCGUGUYGUGARAUGUUGGGUUAAGUCCCGCAACGAGCGCAACCCUUAUUAUUAGUUGCCAGCAUUAAGUUGGGCACUCUAGUGAGACUGCCGGUGAUAAACCGGAGGAAGGUGGGGAUGACGUCAAAUCAUCAUGCCCCUUAUGACCUGGGCUACACACGUGCUACAAUGGAUGGUACAACGAGUYGCGAAACCGCGAGGUCAAGCUAAUCUCUUAAAGCCAUUCUCAGUUCGGAUUGCAGGCUGCAACUCGCCUGCAUGAAGUUGGAAUCACUAGUAAUCGUGGAUCAGCAUGCCACGGUGAAUACGUUCCCGGGCCUUGUACACACCGCCCGUCAYACCAUGAGAGUUUGUAACACCCAAAGACGAUGGAGUAACCUUCGGGAGCUAGUUGUCUAAGGUGGGACAGAUGAUUAGGGUGAAGUCGUAACAAGGUAGCCGUAGGAGAACCUGCGGCUGGAUCACCUCCUUUCUAAGGA
rnacentral:rRNA from 1 species